rnacentral:rRNA from 1 species
UACGUAGGGGGCUAGCGUUGUCCGGAAUCAUUGGGCGUAAAGCGCGUGUAGGCGGUCCGGUAAGUCCGCUGUGAAAGUCGGGGGCUCAACCCUCGGAUGCCGGUGGAUACUGUCGGACUUGAGUACGGAAGAGGCGAGUGGAAUUCCUGGUGUAGCGGUGAAAUGCGCAGAUAUCAGGAGGAACACCAAUUGCGAAGGCAGCUCGCUGGGACGUUACUGACGCUGAGACGCGAAAGCGUGGGGAGCAAACAGG